AUAUGAUUCAUGUAGUUCUGAGCUGAGAGCAAAGCUACAGUAUUGAAAUGGACUAAUGUUUUCUAGGUCAGGGUUAACCUGAGUUACAAAAUCUUCCUGAAAAGCUACUCUGAAGCCCUUUAGACCUGUUGGAAUGGUGGCAUACAGUGAACCUGUGAAGGACUAUGUCUAAACUAAGAAGUCACACAAAUGCCCACUUCUCUGUACACAGCAAGCUUCAUUCUCACACUUUCAGAUGAACAGGCUGCUUCCCACUUAAUGCAGCUGUCAGUGAGAUUUUAACUAUUUCCGUCUCAAACCUUGCUUCUUUGUCUGUGUCUAAUGUUUCCUGGCAGAUGACCAGAACACUGUAAGAUUAUGUUGAGAAGAUGGAUAGGGAACUCUGUUUCUUGUGGCAGAAGAACUAGAGGAAUCCAGUGAAAUUUCCAGGCAGGAGGUUUUAGUGGAAGCAACAGACAGAAUCUUUCUGUGCAACACUGAGUUGCUCUGUUGGAUUCAGUACCGCAGAAUGCUAUGGGAUGCUGGUAAAUUCUGUGAAAGCCUUGCUUUGAACUGGCUUUUUUUCAAUUCAUAUUUUUAUUACAGGUGAUAGAUGUCUGAACUAAUCCAAAUGCAUGGUGUUUGGCAAAGUUAUGGAAGAGCAUGACCUCACAGCCAGUAAAGUGGUUUGUUUUGUGAAUGAAAGCUGGAUGCCUUUAGCAGGAUGGCAUUAACACUGACCUCUGCUCAUGCAUUGAAUUCCUGCCCAGUGGGAGAGCUGGAGAAGAUGCAGAGGGCAAGUCAAAACCCAGAAGGUUCACAAAGCACAACUAGUCUACAAGGACUAGUUUGAGCUACUCUCACCAGCUAAGACAACACUUCUCUAUAAGGUGAGCACGUUGAAUAAAGCUUAUCGAUGUAGUUGUUUCUUUUUCUUUUCAUUCACCUCCUGACCUUUAAAAAUUACUUUACUCAACAAAGGACAAUAGGGCCAAUCCAGCUCCCAUUAAAGUCAGCAGGAGUCUUUUCAUUAACUUCAGCUGAAGCUGGGCUGGGCCCAAUAAGACUAACUUUAAGAGUAAAAAAUAGCAACUCAUAUAGAGCUUUAUCUUGCCCCCUGUGGCUUGAUAACUGACCUCCCAUCAUGUUCACUGGGACAGGAUCGGGCUUAUAAAGCCAAGUAAAACUAUUACAGGCCUAAUCCUAUAACCCAAAUUUAUAAAGUAUUUGAAUUUCCUCCUUUUAAUCACACUGGAAAUAUUUGAGAACUAUUCAUGACUUUACGAAUAGGGAGGAGCUUCCAGCUGAACAGAUUGGAUUUGUCUUUGGGUUGCUUUAUGCCCUAGAGUUUUCUGUUUUUAAAAUAAGGAGGAAGGAAGAUGGCAGGGGUAAGGGGCU
rnacentral:lncRNA from 1 species